rnacentral:rRNA from 1 species
ACGCGUACAUGACCUGCCUGUCAGAAGGGGAUAGCCCUGGGAAACUGGGAUUAAUACCCUAUGGUAUUGAUAUUAUGAAUGAUAUCAAUUAAAGUUGAGGCGCUGACAGAUGGAUGUGCGUCUGAUUAGCUAGUUGGUAGGGUAACGGCCUACCAAGGCGACGAUCCGUAGCUGGUCUGAGAGGACGACCAGCCACACUGGAACUGAGACACGGUCCAGACUCCUACGGGAGGCAGCAGUGGGGAAUUUUGGACAAUGGGGGCAACCCUGAUCCAGCCAUUCCGCGUGAGUGAAGAAGGCCUUCGGGUUGUAAAGCUCUUUCAGCAGGAACGAAACGGGGUCCCUAAUACGGACUACUAAGACGGUACCUAAGAAGAAGCACCGGCUAA